rnacentral:rRNA from 1 species
UACGGAGGGUGCAAGCGUUAUCCGGAUUCACUGGGUUUAAAGGGUGCGUAGGUGGAAUGGUAAGUCAGUGGUGAAAUCUCCAAGCUUAACUUGGAAACUGCCGUUGAUACAGCAAGUCUUGAGUUCGAGAGAGGUGGGUGGAAUUCCUAGUGUAGAGGUGAAAUUCGUAGAUAUUAGGAAGAACACCGGUGGCGAAAGGCGGCCCCACUGGGCUCGAUACUGACGCUGAGAAGCGAAAGCAUGGGGAGCGAACAGGG